GUUAAGCGACUAAGCGUACACGGUGGAUGCCCUGGCAGUCAGAGGCGAUGAAGGACGUGCUAAUCUGCGAUAAGCGUCGGUAAGGUGAUAUGAACCGUUAUAACCGGCGAUUUCCGAAUGGGGAAACCCAGUGUGUUUCGACACACUAUCAUUAACUGAAUCCAUAGGUUAAUGAGGCGAACCGGGGGAACUGAAACAUCUAAGUACCCCGAGGAAAAGAAAUCAACCGAGAUUCCCCCAGUAGCGGCGAGCGAACGGGGAGCAGCCCAGAGCCUGAAUCAGUGUGUGUGUUAGUGGAAGCGUCUGGAAAGGCGCGCGAUACAGGGUGACAGCCCCGUACACAAAAAUGCACAUGCUGUGAGCUCGAUGAGUAGGGCGGGACACGUGGUAUCCUGUCUGAAUAUGGGGGGACCAUCCUCCAAGGCUAAAUACUCCUGACUGACCGAUAGUGAACCAGUACCGUGAGGGAAAGGCGAAAAGAACCCCGGCGAGGGGAGUGAAAAAGAACCUGAAACCGUGUACGUACAAGCAGUGGGAGCCUCUUUUAUGGGGUGACUGCGUACCUUUUGUAUAAUGGGUCAGCGACUUAUAUUCUGUAGCAAGGUUAACCGAAUAGGGGAGCCGAAGGGAAACCGAGUCUUAACUGGGCGUUAAGUUGCAGGGUAUAGACCCGAAACCCGGUGAUCUAGCCAUGGGCAGGUUGAAGGUUGGGUAACACUAACUGGAGGACCGAACCGACUAAUGUUGAAAAAUUAGCGGAUGACUUGUGGCUGGGGGUGAAAGGCCAAUCAAACCGGGAGAUAGCUGGUUCUCCCCGAAAGCUAUUUAGGUAGCGCCUCGUGAAUUCAUCUCCGGGGGUAGAGCACUGUUUCGGCAAGGGGGUCAUCCCGACUUACCAACCCGAUGCAAACUGCGAAUACCGGAGAAUGUUAUCACGGGAGACACACGGCGGGUGCUAACGUCCGUCGUGAAGAGGGAAACAACCCAGACCGCCAGCUAAGGUCCCAAAGUCAUGGUUAAGUGGGAAACGAUGUGGGAAGGCCCAGACAGCCAGGAUGUUGGCUUAGAAGCAGCCAUCAUUUAAAGAAAGCGUAAUAGCUCACUGGUCGAGUCGGCCUGCGCGGAAGAUGUAACGGGGCUAAACCAUGCACCGAAGCUGCGGCAGCGACGCUUAUGCGUUGUUGGGUAGGGGAGCGUUCUGUAAGCCUGUGAAGGUGUGCUGUGAGGCAUGCUGGAGGUAUCAGAAGUGCGAAUGCUGACAUAAGUAACGAUAAAGCGGGUGAAAAGCCCGCUCGCCGGAAGACCAAGGGUUCCUGUCCAACGUUAAUCGGGGCAGGGUGAGUCGACCCCUAAGGCGAGGCCGAAAGGCGUAGUCGAUGGGAAACAGGUUAAUAUUCCUGUACUUGGUGUUACUGCGAAGGGGGGACGGAGAAGGCUAUGUUGGCCGGGCGACGGUUGUCCCGGUUUAAGCGUGUAGGCUGGUUUUCCAGGCAAAUCCGGAAAAUCAAGGCUGAGGCGUGAUGACGAGGCACUACGGUGCUGAAGCAACAAAUGCCCUGCUUCCAGGAAAAGCCUCUAAGCAUCAGGUAACAUCAAAUCGUACCCCAAACCGACACAGGUGGUCAGGUAGAGAAUACCAAGGCGCUUGAGAGAACUCGGGUGAAGGAACUAGGCAAAAUGGUGCCGUAACUUCGGGAGAAGGCACGCUGAUAUGUAGGUGAAGCGACUUGCUCGUGGAGCUGAAAUCAGUCGAAGAUACCAGCUGGCUGCAACUGUUUAUUAAAAACACAGCACUGUGCAAACACGAAAGUGGACGUAUACGGUGUGACGCCUGCCCGGUGCCGGAAGGUUAAUUGAUGGGGUCAGCGCAAGCGAAGCUCUUGAUCGAAGCCCCGGUAAACGGCGGCCGUAACUAUAACGGUCCUAAGGUAGCGAAAUUCCUUGUCGGGUAAGUUCCGACCUGCACGAAUGGCGUAAUGAUGGCCAGGCUGUCUCCACCCGAGACUCAGUGAAAUUGAACUCGCUGUGAAGAUGCAGUGUACCCGCGGCAAGACGGAAAGACCCCGUGAACCUUUACUAUAGCUUGACACUGAACAUUGAGCCUUGAUGUGUAGGAUAGGUGGGAGGCUUUGAAGUGUGGACGCCAGUCUGCAUGGAGCCGACCUUGAAAUACCACCCUUUAAUGUUUGAUGUUCUAACGUUGACCCGUAAUCCGGGUUGCGGACAGUGUCUGGUGGGUAGUUUGACUGGGGCGGUCUCCUCCUAAAGAGUAACGGAGGAGCACGAAGGUUGGCUAAUCCUGGUCGGACAUCAGGAGGUUAGUGCAAUGGCAUAAGCCAGCUUGACUGCGAGCGUGACGGCGCGAGCAGGUGCGAAAGCAGGUCAUAGUGAUCCGGUGGUUCUGAAUGGAAGGGCCAUCGCUCAACGGAUAAAAGGUACUCCGGGGAUAACAGGCUGAUACCGCCCAAGAGUUCAUAUCGACGGCGGUGUUUGGCACCUCGAUGUCGGCUCAUCACAUCCUGGGGCUGAAGUAGGUCCCAAGGGUAUGGCUGUUCGCCAUUUAAAGUGGUACGCGAGCUGGGUUUAGAACGUCGUGAGACAGUUCGGUCCCUAUCUGCCGUGGGCGCUGGAGAACUGAGGGGGGCUGCUCCUAGUACGAGAGGACCGGAGUGGACGCAUCACUGGUGUUCGGGUUGUCAUGCCAAUGGCACUGCCCGGUAGCUAAAUGCGGAAGAGAUAAGUGCUGAAAGCAUCUAAGCACGAAACUUGCCCCGAGAUGAGUUCUCCCUGACUCCUUGAGAGUCCUGAAGGAACGUUGAAGACGACGACGUUGAUAGGCCGGGUGUGUAAGCGCAGCGAUGCGUUGAGCUAACCGGUACUAAUGAACCGUGAGG
rnacentral:rRNA from 1 species